AUUGAACGCUGGCGGCAGGCCUAACACAUGCAAGUCGAGCGAGCGGCGGACGGGUGAGUAAUGUAUGGGGACUGCCCGCUAGAGGGGGAUAACUACUGGAAACGGUAUCUAAUACCGCAUACUCUCGGAUUGCCCAGAUGGGAUUAGCUAGUAGGUGGGGUAAUGGCUCACCUAGGCGACGAUCCCUAGCUGGUCUGAGAGGAUGACCAGCAACACUGGAACUGAGACACGGCCCAGACUCCUACGGAGGCAGCAGUGGGGAAUAUUGCACAAUGGGCGCAAGCCUGAUGCAGCCAUGCCGCGUGUAUGAAGAAGGCCCUAGGGUUGUAAAGUACUUUCAGUGGGGAGGCGUUACCGGCAGAAGAAGCACCGGCUAACUCCGUGCCAGCAGCCGCGGUAAUUC
rnacentral:rRNA from 1 species